rnacentral:rRNA from 1 species
CAACAGUUGGAAACGACUGCUAAUACCGCAUGACACAUUUGAAUCGCAUGGUUUGAAUGUCAAAGAUUUAUCGCUGGAAGAUGGCCUCGCGUCUGAUUAGCUAGUAGGCGGGGUAACGGCCCACCUAGGCGACGAUCAGUAGCCGGACUGAGAGGUUGACCGGCCACAUUGGGACUGAGAUACGGCCCAGACUCCUACGGGAGGCAGCAGUGGGGAAUAUUGGGCAAUGGGCGCAAGCCUGACCCAGCAACGCCGCGUGAAGGAAGAAGGCUUUCGGGUUGUAAACUUCUUUUAAGAGGGAAGAGCAGAAGACGGUACCUCUUGAAUAAGCCACGGCUAACUACGUGCCAGCAGCCGCGGUAAUACGUAGGUGGCAAGCGUUGUCCGGAUUUACUGGGUGUAAAGGGCGUGCAGCCGGGAAGACAAGUCAGAUGUGAAAUCCCGCGGCUCAACCGCGGAACUGCAUUUGAAACUGUUUUUCUUGAGUACCGGAGAGGUCAUCGGAAUUCCUUGUGUAGCGGUGAAAUGCGUAGAUAUAAGGAAGAACACCAGUGGCGAAGGCGGAUGACUGGACGGCAACUGACGGUGAGGCGCGAAAGCGUGGGGGAGCAAACAGGAUUAGAUACCCUGGUAGU